GCUGAUGAACCCAUUUGGCCAUUGGGAGAAGCUGCUUCAGCAUCCAUAUGUCUCAUCAAGACUAUUCUCGUUACUGACUACCCAACUGAUCAGUAGUAAUGAACUAUCUUCUGUCUCUGAUAAAUGUUAUUCAACAGGGUAUAAAUUUGCCUUUGAAUCAUAGAUUGAAGACAAUGGUUGUUCUUCAUUAUUAUAAAUACAAAUUCUGGAAAUAUAUUUAUCUACUUUGUAAGCCAUUCUCUCCAAACAAUAUAAUUCUUUAAUUUUAUCAAAUACCACAUGCAUCAUUAUGGUAUUCAAGACAAUAAUUUUCUAAUUCCACAGCAACUGAAGUAAGGCAGUAUAGACUAACACACAAUUGAUUAACAGCUUUUAACUCGUUCUUUAUUGCCCAGAAAGAGUUGGACUUAAUUGAGUGUGGAUCAACUUUUGAAGAAUUAGUUAAGAGUCAAAUUGAACCAAAGCAUACAAGCCUGUGGUGCCUUUUAUAAGGAUAUGGUAUUAUGCUAUGAACCAACAAGCCAUGCUGCUGUUUUUCCAAUAGUGAUAAAGUAUUGUAAGGGAAUCAGAGUGAAAGAUGCAUUCCCCAUUCUUUUCUCUAAUUCCCUUAGCAAUUCAUCUCCCAUGUUCUUCACUGAUAAUGCCUCAGGGAAGCUGUGGACAUUUUAAAAUCAAAGCUAAAAGACGACAUGCACAAUGCUAAAAUAAUAUUCAUGCUGUCAAUAACAUCCAAUGCCUCACGAAAAUGCCAGCGAAGAAGGACUAUAAGCUGCAGUCAGCACUGUUUCCAUUCCUCUACCUGUUUCAUUUGUGCAUAUUUCAGACCCUCCAUGUGUGAUUCAAGAGACUUCUGCAAUUGUCCUUCAGGAAUCAUGCAUCCUGUCCUAGUUCAUUUUGAUGAAGGUGAUUUGAGAAGAUGGCUGUCUGGAGCGAUAGAUAAAGACUCAUUGGACUGUUACAGAGGAAAAGAAAUUCAGGAGAAGCAUGUGAAUUCAUUACUAAGAAACAAGUACCGUAGCAUUCAGGUGAAGAGGGAAGAAAAAGGAAAGAAAAUGUGUGAAAAAUCAGCUGCAUUUUCAUUGUGA
rnacentral:lncRNA from 1 species